GGGGAUACAGCUCAGUUGGUAGAGUGCUUGCCUCGCAUACACGAGGUCCUGGGUUUGAUUCCCAGCACCA
rnacentral:tRNA from 1 species